rnacentral:rRNA from 1 species
AGUGGAUUAGCGGCGGACGGGUGAGUAACACGUGGGUAACCUGCCUCAAAGUGGGGGAUAGCCUUCCGAAAGGAAGAUUAAUACCGCAUAAUAUAAGAGAAUCGCAUGAUUUUCUUAUCAAAGAUUUAUUGCUUUGAGAUGGACCCGCGGCGCAUUAGCUAGUUGGUAAGGUAAUGGCUUACCAAGGCAACGAUGCGUAGCCGACCUGAGAGGGUGAUCGGCCACAUUGGAACUGAGACACGGUCCAGACUCCUACGGGAGGCAGCAGUGGGGAAUAUUGCGCAAUGGGGGAAACCCUGACGCAGCAACGCCGCGUGGGUGAUGAAGGUCUUCGGAUUGUAAAGCCCUGUUUUCUGGGACGAUAAUGACGGUACCAGAGGAGGAAGCCACGGCUAACUACGUGCCAGCAGCCGCGGUAAUACGUAGGUGGCGAGCGUUGUCCGGAUUUACUGGGCGUAAAGGGUGCGUAGGCGGAUGUUUAAGUGGGAUGUGAAAUCCCCGGGCUUAACCUGGGGGCUGCAUUCCAAACUGGAUAUCUAGAGUGCAGGAGAGGAAAGCGGAAUUCCUAGUGUAGCGGUGAAAUGCGUAGAGAUUAGGAAGAACACCAGUGGCGAAGGCGGCUUUCUGGACUGUAACUGACGCUGAGGCACGAAAGCGUGGGUAGCAAACAGGAUUAGAUACCCUGGUAGUCCACGCCGUAAACGAUGGAUACUAGGUGUAGGGGGUAUCAACUCCCCCUGUGCCGCAGUUAACACAAUAAGUAUCCCGCCUGGGGAGUACGGUCGCAAGAUUAAAACUCAAAGGAAUUGACGGGGGCCCGCACAAGCAGCGGAGCAUGUGGUUUAAUUCGAAGCAACGCGAAGAACCUUACCUGGACUUGACAUCCCUUGCAUAGCCUAGAGAUAGGUGAAGCCCUUCGGGGCAAGGAGACAGGUGGUGCAUGGUUGUCGUCAGCUCGUGUCGUGAGAUGUUAGGUUAAGUCCUGCAACGAGCGCAACCCUUGUUAUUAGUUGCUACCAUUAAGUUGAGCACUCUAAUGAGACUGCCUGGGUAACCAGGAGGAAGGUGGGGAUGACGUCAA